rnacentral:rRNA from 1 species
GCAAAGGCCGGGCUGGCGGGCGCGGUAAUACGGAGGGUGCAAACGUUGCUCGGAAUCAGUGGGCGUAAAGGGUGUGGAGGCGGCCUGUUAAGUCGGGUGUGAAAGCCCUGGGCUCAACCCAGGAAGUGCAUUCGAAACUGGCAGGCUUGAGUACAGGAGAGGGUCGCGGAAUUCCCGGUGUAGAGGUGAAAUUCGUAGAUAUCGGGAGGAACACCAGUGGCGAAGGCGGCGACCUGGACUGAUACUGACGCUGAGACACGAAAGCGUGGGGAGCAAACAGGAUUAGAUACCCCGGUAGUC